UCAUACCCACCAUUCAACCGUUCUCUAAAAGAAUAGAAGAGAGAGUUCUCGCCCGUGACCACAAACACACCUUCCAGUGGUCAGGGGUUGGAACAAACAACCCAAAACGGUCUCCCUUGCUCUACCAAACCCAAAGCCUAAGUUGUUUUCACCUAAAACCAUCCUAAAAAGCCUAGAUCUAAAAAAAAGGAACCAAAAGGUCUACCUUCGUUGGUAGAGACACGAAGGUUUUGGUGACGAUGGUGGCGGUGUGCGACUGGUGAAGCUCACGCACCAGUUUGGGAGUUGAAGAGUUGGGUGCGUGUAUCACGCGCUCCGGUGAUGGACGGUCUAUCUUCUGGUCGGCAGCGGCUCCUACUGGA